AUACGGAAGGUCCGGGCGUUAUCCGGAUUUAUUGGGUUUAAAGGGAGCGCAGGCGGAGAUGCAAGCGUGACGUCAAAUUUCGGGGCUCAACCCCGUCUCGCGUCGCGAACUGCGUCCCUUGGUUGCGGGAAGGGGAGGCGGAACUCGUGGUGUAGCGGGGAAAUGCAUAGAUAUCACGAAGAACUCCGAUCGCGAAGGCAGCCUUCCAGCCCGUCAACGACGCUCAUGCUCGAAGGUGCGGGUAUCAAACAGGAUUAGAUACCCUGGUAGUCCGCACAGUAAACGAUGGACACCCGCGGUUUGGCCUAUAUGGCUGAGCCGCCAAGCGAAAGCGUUAAGUGUCCCACCUGGGGAGUACGCCGGCAACGGUGAAACUCAAAUGAAUUGGCGGGG
rnacentral:rRNA from 1 species